rnacentral:rRNA from 1 species
CCUUCUUUUUCCCUCUUUUUCCUUCCUUCCUUUUCUUCCCUUUUUCUUCUUCUUCUCUUUCCUUGGGAUGUUCCAUACCUGAGCUCAACUCGGGUGCUGCAUUCCAAACUGGAUAUCUAGAGUGCAGGAGAGGAGAAUGGAAUUCCUAGUGUAGCGGUGAAAUGCGUAGAGAUUAGGAAGAACACCAGUGGCGAAGGCGAUUCUCUGGACUGUACCUGACGCUGAGGCACGAAAGCGUGGGUAGCAAACAG